GGUCCAAUAGUCUAGGUGGUUAGGACGUGGGAUUCUGAUAAUACAGGAUCUUCCCGAAACCUCGGUUCGAAUCCGGGUUGGACCU
rnacentral:tRNA from 1 species